rnacentral:rRNA from 1 species
AGCAAAUCUCUUAAAGCCGUUCUCAGUUCGGAUUGUAGGCUGCAACUCGCCUACAUGAAGUCGGAAUCGCUAGUAAUCGCGGAUCAGCAUGCCGCGGUGAAUACGUUCCCGGGCCUUGUACACACCGCCCGUCACACCAUGAGAGUUUGUAACACCCAAAGCCGGUGGGGUAACCUUUUGGAGCCAGCCGUCUAAGGUGGGACAGAUGAUUAGGGUGAAGUCGUAACAAGGUAGC